AUGAAGUCUGUGAAAGGAUUGCCUGUGCCAGAUAUUCAUUGUCAGACCUUCACUCAGUCUCAAGCUGUGGUAAAAAGGCCUGGUGAAUCUUUUCGGCUGGUCUGUACUGCCUCUGGAUUUACUUUCAGCAGCUACUAUGUUGCGGUGGUGAGACAGGCUCCCAGUAAAGGACUGGAAUGGAUUGCAUAUAUCGGUACAUCCAGUUCUCCGAUCUACUAUUCCCAGUCAGUCCAGGGAAGGUUCACAGUGUCCAGAGAUGACUCCAGCAGUCAACUGUACCUGCAGAUGAACAGCCUCAAGACUGAAGACACUGCUGUCUAUUACUGUGCUAGAGCGUCACUGUGA